AGCAGCCGCGGUAAUUCCAGCUCCAAUAGCGUAUAUUAAAGUUGUUGCAGUUAAAAAGCUCGUAGUUGAAUUUCGGGAUUGACGUGAUGGUCAUGCCUUAAGGGGUAUGAACUGUUACAGUUGAUUUCUCACCUUCUGGAGAAACUUGAUGUCCUUUAUUGGGUGUCUUGCGGAUCCAGGACCUUUACCUUGAAAAAAUUAGAGUUUAAAGCAGGCAUUUUUGCUCGAAUACAUUAGCAUGGAAUAAUAGAAUAGGACGGCAUGGUUCUAUUUUGUUGGUUUCUAGGAUCACCGUAAUGAUUAAUAGGGAUAGUUGGGGGCAUUAGUAUUCAAUUGUCAGAGGUGAAAUUCUUGGAUUUAUUGAAGACUAACUACUGCGAAAGCAUUUGCCAAGGAUGUUUUCAUUAAUCAAGAACGAAAGUUAGGGGAUCGAAGACGAUCAGAUACCGUCGUAGUCUUAACCAUAAACUAUGCCGACUAGGAAUCAGACGAUGUUAAUUUUUAAUGACUCGUUUGGCUA
rnacentral:rRNA from 1 species